rnacentral:rRNA from 1 species
UACGGAGGGGGCUAGCGUUGUUCGGAAUUACUGGGCGUAAAGCGCACGUAGGCGGACUGGAAAGUCAGAGGUGAAAUCCCAGGGCUCAACCUUGGAACUGCCUUUGAAACUCCCGGUCUUGAGGUCGAGAGAGGUGAGUGGAAUUCCGAGUGUAGAGGUGAAAUUCGUAGAGAUUCGGAGGAACACCAGUGGCGAAGGCGGCUCACUGGCUCGAUACUGACGCUGAGGUGCGAAAGAGUGGGGAGCAAACAGG